GGGGCGGGGAGGGGGAGGAGGAGGAGGAGCAGGGCGGGCUUGUUCUAGAGGAAACAGGCAAUAGACUCUGGAGAAGCGACCCACGCGUGACCCGAAGCGAGGUUUCGCGCCCUCGGCCUCAGGAGACCCCAGAUAAGGCUCGCCCUCAGUGGGAAAUGCUCUUAAGGACAGGGAAGCCCUGAUAAGGAGUCAGGAGCGCCUUGACUUCCAGAGAAGGUCGCUUUAGGGCAGGCAUGGGCAAAUUUGGGCCCUUCAGGGGUUUGGAUUCCAGCUCCCACCAUUCCUGACAGCCUCAGGCCCCUUCCUUUUCCCCCUCAGCCGCUUAAGCGGCUGAGGGGGAAAAGGAAGGGGCCUGAGGCUGUCAGGAAUGGUGGGAGCUGGAGUCCAAACCCUUGAAGAGCCCAAAUUUGCCCAUGCCUGUGUUAAAGUCACCAUAGUGAGAAACACUUUCACCAUGAUAAUCAAAAUCGUCCUCACUUCCAUAAAACCCAGCCAUAAGGUCCCUUUAAGGUCACUCUAUGUGGGAGAUGCUCUUAGGUUGCUUUAGGGUCACCAUAGGUCAGAAACACUUUGACCCCUAGAAAACCCUGUAAGUGAGAUAGAUUAUUUGCCCCAGACAACCCGGUAAUAAGGUUCGUUUAGGGUCAUCAUGAGUGGGUAAAAAACUCUUCGACUCUCUCUACAGGAAUAAAAAUGCCCCCCCCCCCCCCUCCUUUAAAAAUCUCUUGAAAAUACACUUAUGCACUUCAGUAUAUGGAGAGGAAGAAGACUAGGUCUCUUUUAAAUUAAUUCCAUCAGAUUUCUGGCUAACAUGGCAGCUAUGACAUAUUUUAAGUGAAUACCUAUUAUAGCCAUUUCUAAUGUAAUAAUAAUAAUUUAUUUGUUUGACCAGUCAUAUGACCAUUUCAAAGUGCAACAUAAAUAAAAACAAGGCAAAAAGGAUGGGAGGACAGCAGCUGACCUUCUGUUUGCCGUCAAAAUCUUAUUUUCCUGAUUCUUCUUUCAGGAAAUGUGCUCUUUUCUUGAUAGCUUUCAGGAUAAAACGGCUUACUCUGAUUAUGGUGGAUCUUUCUUGUCCUUCUAAUGUAUUUUAAUUGUCUUACAGGGUAUAUGUCUUAAUGUUAAAUCAUGUUAUUAGUGUUGUCAUGUCUAUUGGAAUAUUUUAUACUGUUUUAAUUCUUUUGCUACAAAUGUACAGUUGUUAUUAUUGUGAAUUACUUUGAUUUUUGUUGUACUUGUAUUAUUUUGGGCAUUGAAUGUUUGUCUUUUUUUCUGUGUGUAAACUGCCCAGAGUCCCUUCUGGGAGAGAAGGCAGCCUAGAAAUAAAGAUGAUGAUGAUGAUGAUUAUUAUUAUUAUUAGCUCCAGAAAUCCCCAGACAGGGUCACAUUAGGGUCACAUAAAUAGGAAAUGUUUUGACUUCUAAAGAACCCUGUGAUAGAGCUGCUAUGAGUGGGAUAAACCCUCAGCCCCAGAAACCCAGUGAUAAGGUCACUUAGGGUCAUCAUAAUUUAGAAACACCUUUAACCCCAGAAAAUCCCAUGCUGGGGUCACUUUAUCCUUAAAAAAACCCAUGAUCAGGUCACCAUAAGUCAAACACUUUCACAUCCAUGAAACCCUGUGACCGGGUUGCUCUUAGUGACAUUAGCCCAAUGAAUCCCUGUGAUAAGGCUGGGUUAGGGGCACCAUAAGUGAGAAACUCUAGUAGCCCCCAAAAACCCCAUCAUAGGGUCACUUUUGUGUUGCCAUAUGUGGGAAACAUGUUUUGUUGCACAAAACCUCAUAACAGGGUUGCUUUAGGGUCAUCAUAAGUGGGAAACACAUUUAGCCUCAGAAAGCACUGUGAUAGGUCAGUUUAAGGUCAUCCCUGAUAGAGUCAACAUAGGUCAGAAACAUUUCUCCUCCAUAAAAUUCUGUGAUGGGUAGUAUAUGUGGGAUAUAUAGCCCAAGAAAACCUGGUGAUAAGGUUGCUUUAGGGUCCUCAUAAGUCAAAAACAUUCAUAGCCCCAUAAAAUUUCACAAUAGGGUCACUUUAGGGGUGUUAUAUGUCAGAAAUACAGUUACUUCCAGAAAACCUUAUGAUAAGGUCAUUUUAGGGUCACCAUAAGUCAGAAACGGUCUUAACCCCAGAAACCCCUGAUAAGGUCACUUUAGGGUCACCAUAAGCAGGCAACAUUUUUAGUUUAUUAUAGGGUUGUUUUUGGGAUCACUAGAAGUUAGAAUCACUCUUGGCCCUAGAAAAACUUGCCAUAUGUUGGAAACAAUCUUGGCCGCAAAAAAUCCUGAUAGAGUCACCUUCUAGGGUCCCUAUAAGUUUGAAAUACUCUUAGCCUCAGAAAACCCCUGAUGGGGUCACCAGAAGUGGGAGAAACUCUUAACAUCUUUAGGAUGACCCAGUAAUAAGCUCUUACCCCGUGGUAGGGUUACUUUUGGGUCACUAUGAGUUGGAAACAGUCCCAAAAAACCCUUUCUAAGUUCAUAACCCCAGAAAACUCUUAGUGUUUCAUAAGUCAGAAAUGAUUUGAAAGCACAAAAUAACAACAGUCCAGUCAAUGGCUACUCAGCCACAUGGUCAUUGCAUUCUUGACCUGCUUGUGGGCUUCUCUUGGGGCUGUGGGACAAGAUGCUGGAUAAUAGAGUGCAGUAUUUAGUAUGUUCUAAUAUUUUCUUGCAUUCUGGAGAAAAAAAACAACAACAGGCCUCUCUUACAGCAAUUCACCUGCAGCUGAAGUGAUCUGGUCAACAUUUUUUAGAUGCUCUGGGCUGCUUGGGCUAAUUUAGCUUGCAGCUGCCUUAUAAUGCUUAAUUGCUGCAGACAGCGGAAAAGAGCCCUGUGUAUUGAGAUAUCAGAAAGAAGCCAGUGUAGUAAGUGAUUUAGGAACUGUUUUGACAGCAAGUUUCCAUAGUAAAUAUUCACUGUAAUUAUUUUGGUAUCCUCUUCCAACUUUCAGAAGAGUGGCUUCAGGAAUAAGGGAAUAUCUGGAUGGGAACUUCAAAGUGUCAACUAUCUGAGUAUAAACUGUUAUCCGUCUAUAUGAAAACUAUGGCUCUUCCAAACAGCCAGAAUAUCAAGGCAGAUGAUCCAUAAUACCUGCUUAAAACCGGGUUAUCUGAGUCCACACUGUCAUAUAAUCCAGUUCAAUGUGGAUUUUAUACAGCUGUGUGUAAGGGACCCAAAUCUGUUGAAUUGCAGGGUUAAUUGCUGACUUUUUGUUCGACUGCAUAUGUAUGCACAUUUAUCCCGAAAAUAAGCUAUGACUAUUAUUUUCUGUUGAUCGCCAAGAAGUAUUGUUUCUUUUGUUAUACUUAUUAAUAUAUAUCUUCAUUUUUUCUGAGUUAUGUAUUUCUAUAUUUUUAUCUUCUUUCUAUUACCGUAUUCUUAGGGCCCUUCCACACAGCCAUAUAACCCAGAAUAUCAAGGUAGAAAAUCCCACAAUAUCUGCUUUGAACUUGGUUAUCUGAGUCCACACUGCCAUAUAUUCCAGUUCAAAGCAGAAAAUGGGGGAUUAUAUUCAGCUGUGUGGAAGGGGCCUUUGUUUCAUAUUAGGUUUAAUUUCAGUUGGACAGCAUUUCCAACUAAGUUGCUCAAUUAGAUGCAAACAACUUUCAAAAGUGCAUAAAAAAGCCACAGUGUACUUUUUAUGAAAUUAACAGAGAUUUGAACAUUAGUGCAGUGAGAAGCACUCACGCAUAUAGACACAUACACUUUGCCACUUAGAAGCUGAUUUUCCUUUAAAAGAGACUGCUAUUCUUCUUGAAAGCCAUUUGCAUGUACUAUGUUUUUUUCUCCUUAGCAUUUAUCUCAGAUGGAUAAACUAUAAACUAUGAAAGUGCUGAAAAGUCCAGCUGAGAACUGUGUACAAAAUUCAAAUAAAACAAAAUUAUAUAGAUUUAGGGAAAUGACCUUAACACGCAACUGGGAGGUCAGAGCAACACAAACAUUUGAAUGCUGCAAAGACUUGAGUAGUGCAUGUUUAAUCUUCAUAUGUGGACCUGUCUAUAUGUGAAACUCAUAAUUUGAAGGAGGCCUUAUUUCAAGGGCCACUGUAUUUGCAAGGUCAAUUGGUGUGAAUGUGAAAUAUCCUCCUCUAAAAGGUUCAGGAAAGGAGAUUGCACCUGACCAUUAGGAAGAACUUCCUGACUGUAAGAGCUCUUCAGCAAUGGAACUCUCUGCCUCAGAGUGUGGUGGAGGCUCCUUCCUUGGAAGAUUUUGAACAGGCUGGAUGGUCAUCUGCCAGGGAUACCAUGUGGUCUCUUCCAACUCUAUUAUUCUAUGAUUCACCAUGUAACUUCUUUAAUGCCUUUUGGCUGCCCGAUGAAAACUUCAUUAAAGCCUGCAAAUUCUGAGCACAAAUGACUUUUUAUACCAAUUCAAUGCUGCUGUUAUGAGAGCAUAUGUAUUAUGCUUUUACUUUGUUAUAGGAGAUGUGUGUAUGUACGUACAGGCUUUUUAUGUAAGCUGUCAUGGGUAUUAAUAAAAAAUAGGAUAUACAUCUUCCAUAAA